CUACGGGACGCAGCAGUGAGGAAUAUUGCGCAAUGAGCGAAAGCUAGACGCAGCAACGCCGCGUGAGCGAAGAAGGCCUUCGGGUUGUAAAGCUCUUUUCUGUGUGAAGAGAAGGACGGUAGCACAGGAAUAAGUGUCGGCUAACUACGUGCCAGCAGCCGCGGUAAAACGUAGGACGCAAGCGUUAUCCGGAUUUACUGGGCGUAAAGCGCGUGCAGGCGGUCAGUUAAGUUAUGCGUGAAAGCUCCCUGGCUCAACCGGGAGAGGCCGUAUAAAACUGAUUGACUAGAAGGCAGCAGAGGGGUGUGGAAUUCCAGGUGUAGUGGUGAAAUGCGUAGAGAUCUGGAGGAACACCAGUGGCGAAGGCGACACGCUGGGCUGCACUUGACGCUAAGACGCGAAAGCGUGGGUAGCGAACGGGAUUAGAUACCCUUGUAGUC
rnacentral:rRNA from 1 species